rnacentral:lncRNA from 1 species
UGGUGUGGGAUUGGUGUGGGCUAGCCUGUGUUGGGUUGGUGUGGGCUGGCCUGUGUUGGUGUGGCCUGGCCAGUGUUGUGUUGGUGUGGGCUAGCCUGUGUUGGGUUGGUGUGGGCUAGCCUGUGUUGGGUUGGUGUGGGAUUGCCUGUGUUGGGUUGGUGUGGGCUGGCCUGUGUUGUGUUGAUGUAGACUACCCUGUGUUGGGUUGGUGUGGGCUAGCCUGUGUUGGGUUGGUGUGGGGUUGGUGUGGGCUAGCCUGUGUUGGGUUGGUGUGGGGUUGGUGUGGGCUAGCCUGUGUUGGAUUGGUUUGGGGUUGGUGUGGGCUAGCCUGUGUGGGGUUGGUGUGGGCUAGCCUGUGUUGGGUUGGUGUGGGGUUGGUGUGGGCUAGCCUGUGUUGGAUUGGUUUGGGGUUGGUGUGUGCUAGCCUGUGUGGGGUUGGUGUGGGGUUGGUGUGGGGUUGGUGUGGGCUAGCCUGUGUUGGGUUGGUGUGGGGUUGGUGUGGGCUAGCCUGUGUUGGAUUGGUUUGGGGUUGGUGUGUGCUAGCCUGUGUGGGGUUGGUGUGGGCUAGCCUGUGUUGGGUUGGUGUGGGGUUGGUGUGGUGUGGGCUAGCCUGUGUUGGAUUGGUGUGGGGUUGGUGUGGGCUAGCCUGUGUGGGGUUGGUGUGGGCUAGCCUGUGUUGGGUUGGUGUGGGGUUGGUGUGGGCUAGCCUGUGUUGGGUUGGUGUGGGGUUGGUGUGGGCUAGCCUGUGUUGGGUUGGUGUGGGGUUGGUGUGGGCUAGCCUGUGUUGGGUUGGUGUGGGGUUGGUGUGGGCUAGCCCACCUUGCCCACCGAAUACCCACAUGGGGCCAAUGGGUUCAUGUUUACUGGGGAGUCAGAGAAAGAAAAGAGAGCCUUUCCUCACAGCUAUCUACCUGAAGCUUGAAUCCACAUAUUACUCAAUGCAGGUUGGACUGGACUGAGCCAGCCCAGAGAACAUAUUGAUAAAGGGGACUUUUCUAACGCCUUCAAAGGCCUGUCUUAAUGAAUUGGAUCCAGAGUUCCAAUCAGCUCAAAACAUUUUGUUUUAAUGUCAUAUAUAGAGCUGGUCUUCAUUCUAUUUUAACAAUCUUAAGAGCUGUCAUUUUAUUGUGAGGAACUGCAGUUUUAUCGGACAUCUUUUCUGUUUUGUCCUCUGUGUGAGGGAUCCUUCAAGUUCAGUAUGAGAAGCCUUAGUCAGUAGUCACAUUAACACUGUCUAACUUUUACUCAACAGUAGUACUACUCAUUUUUAAUAACUAAAUCCUAUCUGGGCUCGGGGAGUAGCUUACUUACACUGUGUGAACCUAUGAGGCUGUGUGUGUGUAUGAACCUAUGAGGCUGUGUGUGUGUAUGAACCUAUGAGGCUGUGUGUGUGUGUGUGUGUGUGUGUGUGUGUGUGUGUGUGUGUGUGUGUGUGUGUGUGUGUGUGUGUGUGUGUGUGUGUGUGUGUGUGUGUGUGUGUGUGUGUGUGUGUGUGUGUGUGUGUGUGUGUCUGACUUGACUUGACUUGACCUAGAAGGGGUGUCCUCCACUGUGACCACCAGGAAAGCGAUGAUGCCUUGCCGGGUAUGGGAUUCAGGAGCGGUAUCGGAGCUCAGAGGCCCGAAUUCUGUACUGGGAAUUCUGCCAUCACCACCAGUAAGAAAAUAAUUCCACUUUGGCUUAGAGGGGAGAAAGGUUUUGCUUUAGAGUCUUGGCCCCUGACUGUCGGUUAGUCAAGCAUAAACAGAUCAACAAAAACCAGAAAUGUUUAUAAUAUACAGUAGCAGCAGCUGCAAUAGGAUGGUUCAAUGCAGACUUUAAUUGAAAUAAUAUCAGUUUUCUUUCAAAUAUAUUGAAUGAAUCAAUUCCAGCCUCGUACCUGAGGUUGAAUAGAAAUGUAAUUACAUACAGUGACCAAUAGAGACCACCAGAGGCCCAGAAUAUAGAGAUGUGAGAUGAGAACUCAUCACACAUAGUUCAUGGUUGCAUGGGCCCAAGACCCUCAGUCCAUUGUGUGUGUGUGUGUGUGUGUGUCUGAUGGAGGUGUGUGUUUGUGUGUGUGUGUCUGAUGGAGACGUGUGUGUGUGUGUCUGAUGGAGGUGUGUGUUUGUGUGUGUGUGUCUGAUGGAGGUGUGUGUUUGUGUGUGUGUGUCUGAUGGAGGUUUGUGUGUGUGUGUGUGUCUGAUGGAGGUGUGUGUUUGUGUGUGUGUGUCUGAUGGAGGUUUGUGUGUGUGUGUGUCUGAUGGAGGUGUGUGUUUGUGUGUGUGCGUCUGAUGGAG